rnacentral:tRNA from 1 species
GGGGCGUUAGCUCAGUUGGUAGAGCAGCGGACUCUUAAUCCGUAGGUCGAGUGUUCGAGUCACUCACGCCCCAUCA